CGGGACACUCAGGUAACCACUGGCACACAAAACACACUAACUCAUCCUUUUGAUCAUUCACCUUUUGAGUGUAGGGCUCACCAGACUGUGAGCUCUGGAAGCCCAGGAAGCAACCACCGUGAGCCUGCCCCAGGCUGAACACGCCUCCAGAGAAGACGCAACUCUUGCUGGAGACUCACCUCUUUGGAAUGUGGUGUCCCCCCCACGUGAUGGCGAUGCUGUAUUUCCCUGGGGUGCUGGGGUAAUACUCAAAUGCAUAGACUCCAUCCAGAAAGCCUUUCUGUUUCACCAGCUCCUCCAGACCCUCUGUGGGAAGAAAGCACACCUUCCUUCCAAAGCAAUCCCAAGCUGAGAACAAGAAUCCAAAGGACAAGAACAGAAAGAGCAAUAUCCACAAGACAUAAGCCACACAGGGAACCAAAGUGGGCUGCCUCAGAGUGUGACACCCUCAAAAACUGAGAUUCAUCCAAGCCUAAAAAUAGACCCAUCUCUGCCUCAAAGUGUGGGGAAAUGAAGACUUUCCAGCAAACCGGCUUUAGAAGGCUCUCUGAGCUAUUGGGGAUGGAGGAGUCCUUGACCUCCUGGGUCUGUGUAAAAACAAAUCUAGUCAUACCUCAAUUUUUCUUAACGAUCGCUGUCUUAGCCUCUCACAAAACUGAGGAGGGACUGAACCCUUAUGAGUAUUUGGCAUGCGUUUCAGGUUACUGUCUUGGCACAUCUCUUUUAAAGCUGGACAACCAAAGGGAGAAAACUCCUGAGUACUAUCUACAAGAAGACAGGUUUUAAAUGCUGUACCACAAACUCCAAACUGAGCCAUCAGUAGGCUCCAUAGCCAGGAUGGAGCUCAAUACAAGUCUCCAAUUCACAAGACCUGAGCUGAGAUCAAGAGUCAGACGCUUAACGGACUGAGCCACCCAAGUACUUCUGUCCUUGUUAUUUAAGCGAUACCUGAUUCUGAAAUAUUCAGAGCAGUUCAGUGAGAAGUCUAUACAACUAUGGAAAAUGAUUUACACUCGAAAAAGUGCCACGUCUGCCUCCAUGGUUUUUGAAGAGAAAUCUGCCAUCCUAUUUCUUCCUUAUGGGCAGCUCCUUCAACAACUAUACAGUGCCAACAUCACAUGAACAUGCAAAGGAGAUGGUUUUCAGUUUAAGAGGAGAAGAAAAACAUACCACACCACUUACUGAGGGUGGAAGAGCGAAGAAAUAGGUCAUGAAGCAGAGACAUGAUGUUAAAACCAAACCAAAGAAACACAGUUUGGUGUCCCAAGAUAGUCUUUAAAAUUUUUGGAGCAAAAACAAUAGAAAAUUUUGCCACAUGUGACAAAGAGCGAUGUGAAGAUUUUUGAAUGAUCUGCAAGCCCCUAAGAAAUAAGAACCUAUUAUUAUGGGUAAACUGAGGAAGAUGGGAGCAUGCCAGAGGCAAUACUCUUUGAAGGCGGAUGCUGAGGAGGUCAGACUGCCUGCCAGACCCAAAGGGUACCCACAGGGUGCCAGAACAAGCUGGAAGAUGGAAAUAGACUCAUUGUAUUGCUCAUAUAUAUACCUGUGGAACACCCAGCCAGUCAUCUGCUUGCUGCAUAGCCUCCCGUGCAUUGUCCUACAGGCUUUCGUGGAUCCCAUGAUUCCCAGUCUGGGCACAGACCUGUUAAUAUAACACAAAAGAUUCUGUAAGUAUUAGCUGACUGAAGAGAUUAAAGGAAGUCAUGUGCUUAAAUUAAACCCCUUUGGUAUCUUAAUUCAGAAAACAAUUUCUUCCAAAAAUCAUAGUCAAUUAUAUAUCUUAAGG